AUCCAGCUGACGAGUCCCAAAUAGGACAAAAUGUGCAGCCUGGAU
rnacentral:hammerhead_ribozyme from 1 species